AGUGAACGCUGGCGGUAGGCCUAACACAUGCAAGUCGAACGGCAGCACAGGAGAGCUUGCUCUCUGGGUGGCGAGUGGCGGACGGGUGAGGAAUACAUCGGAAUCUACUCUGUCGUGGGGGAUAACGUAGGGAAACUUACGCUAAUACCGCAUACGACCUACGGGUGAAAGCAGGGGACCUUCGGGCCUUGCGCGAUUGAAUGAGCCGAUGUCGGAUUAGCUAGUUGGCGGGGUAAAGGCCCACCAAGGCGACGAUCCGUAGCUGGUCUGAGAGGAUGAUCAGCCACACUGGAACUGAGACACGGCCCAGACUCCUACGGGAGGCAGCAGUGGGGAAUAUUGGACAAUGGGCGCAAGCCUGAUCCAGCCAUACCGCGUGGGUGAAGAAGGCCUUCGGGUUGUAUAGCCCUUUUGUUGGGAAAGAAAUCCAGCUGGCUAAUACCCGGUUGGGAUGACGGUACCCAAAGAAUAAGCACCGGCUAACUUCGUGCCAGCAGCCGCCGUAA
rnacentral:rRNA from 1 species